rnacentral:tRNA from 1 species
GGCUCGGUAGCUUAGUUGGUAAAGCGCUCGUCUAGCAUACAAGAGUCCUGGGUUCAAAUCCCGGCCGAGCAC